rnacentral:rRNA from 1 species
UACGGGGGGAGCAAGCGUUGUUCGGAUUUACUGGGCGUAAAGGGCGCGUAGGCGGUCAGCACAAGUCAGUUGUGAAAUCUCCGGGCUUAACUCGGAAAGGUCAACUGAUACUGUGCGACUAGAGUGCAGAAGGGGCAACUGGAAUUCGUCGGUGUAGCGGUGAAAAUGCGUAGAUAUCGAGAGGAACACCUGCGGCGAAGGCGGGUUGCUGGGCUGACACUGACGCUGAUGCGCGAAAGCCAGGGGAGCGAACGGG